UACAGAGGGUGCGAGCGUUGUCCGGAAUCACUGGGCGUAAAGGGCGCGUAGGCGGUCUGGUAAGCGUGCGGUGAAAGCUCGGGGCUCAACUCCGAGUCGGCCGUGCGAACUGGGCUCACUGGAGCAUAGUAGAGGCAGGUGGAAUUCCGGGUGUAGCGGUGGAAUGCGUAGAGAUCCGGAAGAACACCGGUGGCGAAGGCGGCCUGCUGGGCUAUGGCUGACACUGAGGCGCGACAGCGUGGGGAGCAAACAGG
rnacentral:rRNA from 1 species